rfam:Pyrenophora tritici-repentis Pt-1C-BFP supercont1.1 genomic scaffold, whole genome shotgun sequence.
GGGGGGAUGGCGCAGUGGUAAAGCGCCUGGUAUUCCUUUACCGCACUCCAAAUUUGCAGUGUAGUAGAGGUCGAAGGUUCGAAUCCUUCUCCUCUCA